rfam:Brachypodium distachyon strain Bd21 chromosome 1, whole genome shotgun sequence.
CUAAUACUUCCUCCGUCCAACAAAGGAUGUCUCAUCUUUGACUAAAUUUGAAUGCAUCUAUACACUAAGUCAUGUCUAGAUACAUCCAAAUUUUGACAAACUUGAGACAUCUUUUGUUGGACGGAGGGAGUUAGAA